AUGAUCUCUCUACCACAAUCAUCAUGCACCCAGUGAUAGAAUUUUCCACAUAUCAACUCAGAGUAUGAUGACUGCAUUAGAGAGAGAAAG
rfam:Bombyx mori DNA, contig: Bm_scaf35_contig20969, strain: p50T/Dazao, build 2, whole genome shotgun sequence.